AAUUUACAUGGAUAACCGUGGUAAUUCUAGAGCUAAUACAUGCUGUUAAGCCUGACUUUGAGGAAGGGCUGUAUUUAUUAGAUAACAAAUCAAUAUUCCUUGUGUCUAUUGUGAUGAUUCAUAAUAACUGAUCGAAUCGCAUGGGCUUUGCUCGCGAUACAUCAUUCAAGUUUCUGCCCCAUCAGCUUUCGAUGGUAGUGUAUUGGACUACCAUGGCUUUCACGGGUAACGGAGGAUUAGGGUUCGAUUCCGGAGAGGGAGCCUGAGAAACGGCUACCACAUCUAAGGAAGGCAGCAGGCGCGUAAAUUACCCAAUCCUGACUCAGGGAGGUAGUGACAAGAAAUAACGGACCGAAGCCUAUGUUUCGGGAUUGCAAUGAGUAGAAUUUAAACCCCUUUACGAGGAUCAAUUGGAGGGCAAGUCUGGUGCCAGCAGCCGCGGUAAUUCCAGCUCCAAUAGCGUAUAUUAAAGUUGUUGCAGUUAAAAAGCUCGUAGUUGGAUUUCUGGGAGAGUGCCAAUGUCGUCUUGUUGACUGUGCAGCGGCGCUCUUCCAUCCUUCUGUUAACUUUUCGGGUAUUCAUUUACUCGUCUAGAGCUCAGAUAUUUUACCUUGAGAAAAUUAGAGUGUUCCAGGCAGGCUCGCGCCGGAAUACAUUAGCAUGGAAUAAUAGAAUAGGACUUUAGUCUCCUUUGUUGGUUUGAGGGACUGAAGUAAUGAUUAAUAGGGAUAGUUGGGGGCAUUAGUAUUUAAUUGUCAGAGGUGAAAUUCUCGGAUUUGUUAAAGACUAACUUAUGCGAAAGCAUUUGCCAAGGAUGUUUUCAUUAAUCAAGAACGAAAGUUAGGGGAUCAAAGACGAUCAGAUACCGUCCUAGUCUUAACCAUAAACUAUGCCGACUAGGGAUCGGAGGCGCGCUUUAUCCGCCUUCGGCACCUUAUGAGAAAUCAAAGUCUUUGGGUUCUGGGGGGAGUAUGGUCGCAAGGCUGAAACUUAAAGGAAUUGACGGAAGGGCACCACCAGGAGUGGAGCUUGCGGCUCAAUUUGACUCAACACGGGAAAACUUACCAGGUCCAGACAUAGUGAGGAU
rnacentral:rRNA from 1 species